rnacentral:rRNA from 1 species
UGGAAUCGCUAGUAAUCGCGAAUCAGAAUGUCGCGGUGAAUACGUUCCCGGGUCUUGUACACACCGCCCGUCACACCAUGGGAGUCAGCAACGCCCGAAGUCAGUGACCUAACCUUAUGGGGAGGAGCUGCCGAAGGCGGGGCCGGUAACUGGGGUGAAGUCGUAACAAGGUAAC